AUAUGCAUUCUGAUUUGGUUGGUUAAUUGGUUAUGGUCAUUCUUAUUCACUUUCAGGGAUCAAAGAAUCAGAAAGAAAAAAACAUAUAAAACUCUGCAGCAACAAUCUACUGUAGUAAUCUUGUUAUUCACUUUAAAGUUAAGACUUCCAGCAACAACACCUCUGGCACUCUACAGAUUCCCUAGAUGUGACAAGCGAAGUAGAAAAGGAUACUUAAGACUCCUUGAAAGUAGUAACUUUAUUUAUUUCUUUGUGUUGAAAGUAGUAACUUUUAACUAUGUUGAAUAUUUAAGACUCUUUGAAUACUUAAAGAACAUUUUGUUGUUGAUGACAGUGUUGAAUGUUUUAAACUAAUUUGUGGAUUGUUAAUACAAUGUUGAAUGUUCUUA